CGGGGUGAGUAAUGUCUGGGAAACUGCCUGAUGGAGGGGGAUAACUACUGGAAACGGUAGCUAAUACCGCAUAACGUCGCAAGACCAAAGAGGGGGACCUUCGAGCCUCUUGCCAUCGGAUGUGCCCAGAUGGGAUUAGCUAGUAGGUGGGGUAACGGCUCACCUAGGCGACGAUCCCUAGCUGGUCUGAGAGGAUGACCAGCCACACUGGAACUGAGACACGGUCCAG
rnacentral:rRNA from 1 species